rnacentral:rRNA from 1 species
UACGUAGGGGGCGAGCGUUGUCCGAAGUUACUGGGCGUAAAGGGCGCGUAGGCGGGCCUGUAAGUGUGGGGUGAAAUCCCGAGGCUCAACCUCGGGACUGCCCUGCAAACUGGGGGCCUUGAGUGUCGGAGGGGCGAGUGGAAUGGUCGGUGUAGCGGUGAAAUGCGUAGAUAUCGAUCGGAACACCCAUGGCGAAGGCAGCUCGCUGGCCGGCAACUGACGCUGAGGCGCGAAAGCGUGGGGAGCAAACAGG